UACGGGGGGGGCAAGCGUUGUUCGGAAUUACUGGGCGUAAAGGGCUCGUAGGCGGCCCACUAAGUCAGACGUGAAAUCCCUCGGCUUAACCGGGGAACUGCGUCUGAUACUGGAGGGCUUGAGUUUGGGAGAGGGAUGCGGAAUUCCUGGUGGUAGCGGUGAAAUGCGCAGAUAUCAGGAGGAACACCGGUGGCGAAGGCGGAUCUCUGGGCCUUACCUGACGCUGGGGAGCGAAAGCAUGGGGAGCAAACAGGG
rnacentral:rRNA from 1 species